ACGACGCUGGCGGCGUGCCUAACACAUGCAAGUCGAGCGAGGAGAUUCCUUCGGGAUGAUCCUAGCGGCGGACGGGUGAGUAACACGUGGGCAACCUGCCUCAUAGAGAGGAAUAGCCUUCCGAAAGGGAGAUUAAUACCUCAUAACAUUGCAGUUUCGCAUGGAACAGCAAUUAAAGGAGUAAUCCGCUAUGAGAUGGGCCCGCGGCGCAUUAGCUAGUUGGUGAGGUAACGGCUCACCAAGGCGACGAUGCGUAGCCGACCUGAGAGGGUGAUCGGCCACAUUGGGACUGAGACACGGCCCAGACUCCUACGGGAGGCAGCAGUGGGGAAUAUUGCACAAUGGGGGAAACCCUGAUGCAGCAACGCCGCGUGAGUGAUGACGGCCUUCGGGUUGUAAAGCUCUGUCUUCAGGGACGAUAAUGACGGUACCUGAGGAGGAAGCCACGGCUAACUACGUGCCAGCCGCCGC
rnacentral:rRNA from 1 species